GAUGAACGCUGGCGGCGUGCUUAACACAUGCAAGUCGAACGAUGAAGCCCAGCUUGCUGGGUGGAUUAGUGGCGAACGGGUGAGUAACACGUGAGUAACCUGCCCUUAACUCUGGGAUAAGCCUGGGAAACUGGGUCUAAUACCGGAUAGGAGCGCCUACCGCAUGGUGGGUGUUGGAAAGAUUUAUCGGUUUUGGAUGGACUCGCGGCCUAUCAGCUUGUUGGUGAGGUAAUGGCUCACCAAGGCGACGACGGGUAGCCGGCCUGAGAGGGUGACCGGCCACACUGGGACUGAGACACGGCCCAGACUCCUACGGGAGGCAGCAGUGGGGAAUAUUGCACAAUGGGUGAAAGCCUGAUGCAGCGACGCCGCGUGAGGGAUGACGGCCUUCGGGUUGUAAACCUCUUUCAGUAGGGAAGAAGCGAAAGUGACGGUACCUGCAGAAGAAGCACCGGCUAACUACGUG
rnacentral:rRNA from 1 species